ACUGAGUGGCGCAAAUGGUUUGUGUUUGGCUACUAAUCAAAAGGUUGGUGGUUUGAAUCCACCCAGCAGUG
rnacentral:tRNA from 1 species